ACAACUCCACACCCGAUGCCUCCGGCCUCUGUCUCGGCGUAGUCCCGACCGUCGGCCCCUGUUCCCCAUCUCUGCUGUGCGCAGCCGCCGUGGUGACGCACCAACAGUCGCACCUCCUUACGCCCCAGCUAUGCCACCCCCCCCCCCUAGCCAGUCACUCCAACGACGACGCAGCGGCGGCCGGAUCCACGCAGUAUGGCGCGGCGGCGUCAAAAUCCAGGAUGGCGAAGAUGUGCAGCAUUUCCCGCCGGACCAAGCAGCUGCCCUAGGGUUGAAGUCCUCUUCCAGCGGCGCAACCUACAGCGUCGACAGCAGAACCUCGGCACCUCCCCCGCGAGCGCCGCCCAAGGAAGCCACAUCCCUCGCACGUGAAUCUGUUUACAAGCACACUUCCCCGAGGUCGAUGAUGUUCCCCGAUGUGAUGCCUCACGGCGGCGCGGAAGGCUAGAGCGCGCUCGUCGUCCGCCGGCUUGGACGAUGCUGGCUAUGUUUCUGCCGCGUGUGGUUCGAGGCGGCGCUCCUCCUAGGCGCAGGCAGACGGCGUCAACAACCAGCGAUGGACAAGCUAGCACUGUGCUGCUGCCGAAGCAGUUUUGCAGCUCCCUCAGAACGGAGAUGUGCGUCACAUGUGCCAUAGCCACGCGGUCUCAUGUGCGUCCCGCUCACAACGAGCGCCGCCCAAGCCUCGUUUGAUCUCUUUUCCGACAGGUGGGCCCCGAAAACACUGACGUGGCGUGCGGACAGGCAAACGGCGCCGUUAGGAACAAAACAGUCAAGGCGCCGCGCUGGUCGGUCCUGUCGGUGCUCGCCAGAUAGAUGCCCCGCGCCCUCUCUCUCUCUCCCGCCCCUCUCCUCUGCCUCCUCUCUCUGGCUCUGGUCGCCGUCGGUGAGAAGCCAGCUGGCCGCCGUCCGCCAUGGUUUCGUGGAGCGAUGACAGCGAUGAAUCGGGCUACGAGUACUCUUCAGGCGGCUCCCCUAUCAAGAUCCCGGCUACAAUCGAGGACCCGAACUACUCUGGUGUUGAUGAUGAGGUGAUGGUGAUGUGUGAGCAUGGCCAGCUGGCGAAGAGGCAUGUUUGCUUCGAAGGGAUUAGCACUGGGAGGAGUUCAUUGCCUAUGGACUUGAUGAAGCAAGCAGUUGUGGUGUUGUUCAUUGGGUAGAUGAGGAGUGGCCAGAGCAUCUGCAGAAUGCUCUUCACAAACUAUGGCUUUUGUAUGAGGAUUGCCAGCGUGCUAAUAGGAUGGCAUGUCUGGAACAUUCAUCACUUGUCCACAAUCUCACAUCACAGAAGAACAAGCUACAGGAGACUUAUGAGAAGCUUGUUGAGGAGGUGAACAACCUACUUGAUACCCAGGACAAUAUUCCGAAGGAAAAUGAAGUCCAACAAGGUGAACAUGAGGAGAUCACUCCUCCUUUGGACAACAAUAUUUCAGCUUUGAAGGAACAGCUGGGUGCAAUGGAUGCUGAGAACAAAGAACUGAAGCAAAAGGUUGACCAGUUGAAGAGCAUUCAGGUUGCCCAAGGUAAUGUGAUUAGGAAUCUGAAGUUUGCUCAUUUGAAGGAGAAGGAAAAGUUGAGCACUGAGAGGAGGAAUUUGGAGUUUCACAUUGCUGAUCUUGUCAAAGCUAGUGACAAGAACAAGAGAAAGUUGAAGGACAUCAAGGAUAUUUGCGAUGAAGAGUGAUUUGUAAUCGGACCAUGUGGGUCAUUAUCUUAAGUUUCAAGCAUUGAACUAUGGCUUGUAAUGUGUGAACUAGUGGCAGUUUGCAGUAUUUGAAGUAGGGUGUAGCCUUGAACUAUGUCUUGUAAGCUUUGAACUAUGGUGUCAUGAUGUUAACUAUGUUGUUAACUAUGGUGUCAUCAUGUUAACUAUGUUGUUAACUAGAGUUGUUAA